GAAACCGAGAAGGCAUUGAUAGAGAGCUAAACCAACAACAAGCGAGGAGAAAUCUCGUUUAGAAUCCGAAUCAACAAGAAGCAAGGAGAAAUCUCAUUUAGAAUCCGGCAUUGACUAGGGCUCUAUUUCAGGUUUCUUUCUAUCUUGGGGUUUUCUUUUUCAAUAUGCUUUUUGUAUUUUGAAUUUACUUUGAUUCCUGGAUUCUUGUUGUUGUUAUUUGUUUCUUGUUUUUGUGGAUUAGGGGUGUGUUUUUUUCUUCUUGAUUUUGUGAAUUAGGGGUUUUUGUUUAGGUGGGAAUAAUAAGCAAUGGUAAUCUGUCAAGCUAUUACCAUUAAAAUUCAACUUUAAAAGUUAUUUAAAAUUGAAAAUUGUCUAUCGGGAUUUUGACAAUGAACAUUUUCGAGUUUAGAUUCAACUCUAAAAGGCUUAAAAGAAAUCAUAUUAUGAAGAUCUGCAAAGUCCCUAAAGCAUUCUCAAUAAUAAGAAAAGCAUAAGUACUCGUAAACUAAACUUGGCUUAUAAUUAUUAUUACCCACACUAGGAAAUAGUUUUGAAAUCAUGACACUAAAAAUGUCAAGAAGGAGCCAUAAAGAGGGGAAACAUGUAGAAUAAUAUGUUUUCUUCCUUGUGCAAUCAGUUGAGAGUUCAAGGAAUUCAAACACAAAUGUACUGAACAUCUAUUAUAUAGAGGAGCCAUGGUAGAAGUGUAAAGAUACAGAGUAAAUGAUGCAGGAAAAUUUUUAAUUUUUAGGAAAAUGAGAUAAUGUUCAUAGGAUGUUUAUACAGAGCUUUUAGUAUUCUGUCCUUAAUAUGUUUUCCUAGUUAAUUAGAAAUUAUUAAUAAACAUUUGCUUUCCUAUACAUUUUCAGAUUUUAUGUUUAAAUUUGCCUCAGCAUUUUCUACUAGGGUUCAGAUUUUGAGUUCUAUACCGAUAAAGAUUUCCAAACAUUAGAAAUAGGAAUAUAUAACGUGUUAUUUUCUCAAUGGGAUUUUUCUUUUUCUUUGUAACUACACAUUAUGGGUUUUUUCUUACAUGUUGAUUUCUGAAUCCUUUCAUUCGAAGAAGUUUGGAAAUUUUUAAAUUACACUCAUUUGUUAGGUUCUACUGCUCUAUCUCUAUAAGAAAAUUUGAAUCUGGAUAUGCCAAAAGAAAGAGGAAUAAAAAGGUUGAGAGAGAUUUUGUUUGGCUAAUCUAUAUUUUAAAUUGCAAAAAUCUUCAUUUUAAUAUAAAAAUAUAAUUUAUUUAAAUGUUUUCACACAUUUAAAAAAAUUAUGUUUGAGGACCUCAUGUUAAUUAGUCGCCUAGGGUCACUAAAUUCUCGGGGCCAGCCCUGAUUCUAAACGUUAAACUUGUAGAUUAUAAUCUACCUACAAAUAUUGUUUUCUAUGAUGCACUAGUUAAUAUUGUAAAUGUUAUAACACAAUGAUGUGGACAUCAUCCUAUAUUUUUAUGUUUUGUUAUUGGGCUCGUAAUAUUGGGUUAGCCCAAACCCAUUACCUUUCUUGGUUUGUUGAUUUCUCCAUUCAUAUGGCUUGUAUUGAACAUGAAAAAUUAGUUGAUAAAUAUGAAUUAUUGAAAUUGGUUUUGGCUUGCAGCCAACGUAUCUCCAUUCCAUGUCUUCCCAUUUGAUCUCUUCUUUUCUAGGUUCCUCCCCCUUUAUCUCCCGUUCUUCCUUCCCCCUCAUUCUUGUUGUCUUCUUCUUCUUCUUCUCUGCCCUGCUUCUUCUUCUCGUUGUGUUUUUCUCCUCUGCUGGUUAUCUUCUCCUCUGCUACUACCUAUAAGUUCUUUGUUGGAAUACCAUUUUUCAACUCAAUCUCCUUCAAAUUUGGUAUCAAAACUAAACCUGGAUUCAAUAAUAAAAACCAUAGUCCAACGACUCCUAGCGACAUCUUCAUCAAAUUCCAAAAUUGCUGCUGUGAAGUUCAUGAUACCUAAAAUUUACCUCCAGCAAUUUGUCAUUCUCCACAACUUGAAAUCGUCACUGCAACCCCCUACAAUCUUCACCAUGCCAACAGUUAACAGAUCCUUCAUUGACAGUCCAGUAAAUUCAAUACUUCAUCUAUUACAAUAGACAUAUAUUCAGCCCAUCAUCUAGAUCCCUACAACUUUCCAACACCCCAAAUUUCCUCAAACCUAACCCCACUGCAUCCCACAUUUUCAUCCAAACUCCCCAUCAUCGAAAACAUAAAACGAAGUCUACGAAUUAACAAAAAAUAAAAUAAAAAAUACCACAAACAAUAACUACCUCACGCAUGAUCUCAUGGUAAACUGCCUCAACGCCCAUUCACAAAAAUCGCUACCCACAAUUAAUAGAUCCAUACAACCAUACAACUAGUCACCACUACCACAUAAUCCUCCCACCACCAUCGUAUAAUCCUCCCAAACCCAGUCACCAUCUUCAUUAGCCCACAAAUUACGACUGAACCACCCAUGUACAAAAUAGUUAAUUACCAAAAACUCCCCACCGUCUAUCGAUUUUACAGAACCACCAUCGCCCACGCCCUGCAAUUCACGUCACUGCUACCACUCAAUACCAGCAAGCAAAUCACACCACAAUUUGUUCUAAAUCCAAAAACAGCCAACUCCGCCGCCAUCCAUAAAAUCCAGCUAACGCCUCCUCUCGCCAAGAACUAUCUCGCGUUGACAACCUAUAGUCGGUACCCACUAACAAAAUCUGUUUGUUUGUUAAGAGCUCCUCCACUCACAUGCAGGGCCUUCGUUCAUCCAAUCGAUAAACCCUUUUGGAUGUUAGAAAUUGGUUGAAAAAUCAAAAGAAAAUUAAGUAUAAAAGGUGUGACUUCGUCUCAACCUCGGUCAAAUAUUCUGAUUCGAUCUAAUGAUCAAAUUAUAAAAGUAAAUAGAUCAACUUAUUCUACUCGUUGAGCAGAUCAUCGUAGUAUAUUUGGAGUCUCAAAACCAAUUUCGGAUGUACGAAAAAAUUGCGGUCCAAAGUUGGAAGGAAAAAAUGGAGGAAAUGGUUGUCGCCCGAUAUUCGCUCGAGCGACAGCGUCAUCGUCUCUCGAUUAUCGCUCGAGCGAAAGGCGAGCAAAAAGUUCACUGUUUUUGUCGCUCAAGCGAGUGCAUAGCGAAAUGAACUAGUGUCUCUGUUCGUAAAGUUGCAUGGUUUGGUUUGCGAGAUUUCACCACACCGCUUCAUCCUCUAUAAAUAGAGGCCUUUGGAUGUCCAUUUGGGAUACACCAAUUGCAUAAAGCACCCAUUCUUCUCUUGCAAUUCUCUUCUUUCUCCUUUAUUGUAUUGUUUGCAUACUUCCUUUUUAGAUGGGAAGUUCUGUUGAAAAUUCGUUGAUUUCUUGUGGUUUGAAGUGCUAGCAACACAAGUUGUGAAUACAUUUUAUCUUGGAAGACAAGUACUGUUCACCAUGAGCACCGUUGCGGGGCAAUUUGUCUUAAGGAAAGAGUAAACCACUCGUCUUGGAUUGAUUCUCAUUUUCUACUCCUUCUUUUGGUUAUAUUUUACAUUUUAAUAUACUGAAACUCUAUCAAAUUUUUCGUUCAUAUUAGAUUGUGCUUUGAUUACGUUCCUGUGGGUUAAAACUUGUUAAACAAUUUAUCAAAAACCAACCCAAACAUCGCCCGUUUCUAUAUGUUGCCCCAACAAACUUAAGGCAAAUUGUGUUUCUUUGUGGUUGGUUGUAGACAAACCUUACUCUGUUUGAAUAGUAUUUUGUGUACUAUUCCUCCACCAACAUCAAUUUUACUUUGUUGAACUUUUGUUUGUGUAAUAAAAAUGAAUUCCGUUGAGGCUAAUACAAGUCAAAUCGGAAGGGAAAUUUUGGUCUUGCCUAGAGCAAAUAAUGUGGCUCCGAUGGUGAUACCAAUACAAACUACUUCAAUCCCGCAUGGUGAAAAAUAGAAAAAAUUUGGAGGUGUGGAUUUUAAAAGAUUGCAACAAAAGAUGUUGUUCUAUCUCACUACCCUCAAUUUAGCAAAAUUCCUAAAGAAAAUCGCGCCAACCAUACAAUGGGGGAAAAUAAUAUUGCAUUGAUUAUUGCAUUGGAUACAUGGAAGCACUCGGCCUUUCUGUACAAAAAUUACAUACUGAACGGGUUGGACAAUACAUUAUAUGGAGUGUAUAGUUCAAAAGACUCGGUCAAGGAUCUAUAAGAAUCUUUGCAAAAUAAAUAUAAGAUUGAGGAUGCCGAAACUAAAAAGUUCAUCGUUGACAAGUUUUUGGACUACAAGAUGGUAGAUAUCAGAACGGUGAUAAGUCAAGUACAAGAAAUUCAAGUUCUAUUGCACGAUAUACAUGCCGAAAAGAUGGAACUAAGAGAAUCAUUUCAAGUGGCUGCCAUCAUUGAGAAACUCCCUCUUUUGUGGAGAGAUUUCAAAAAUUAUUUCAAGCACAAACGUAAGGAAAUGAAUUUAGAAGAAUUGAUCGUCUGCUUGAGAAUUGAAAAAGACAAAAGGAAAAAUGAAAGGAAACCUCUUGACCAACUUGGAGCAAACUUUGUUGAAACAAAACAACGGGUUGUCAACAAUAAACGAAAAAAUCUCUGGCAAUGUACCACGAAGAGAUAAUUCUAAGAAAGCAAAGAAGUUCAAAGAGAACGUAAAUGUUGAAAGCCAAAGAAGAAUGCUCAAACCCACAUGGUUACAAAUGACACUCUAUCCGACCGGCUGCAAGAAAUGAGUUUAUCUGCAGUAGUGUCCGAAUGCAAUAUGAUUGAAAAUACUAGAGAAUGGUAGAUUGACACCGGCGCUUCUCGCCAUGUGUGUGCGGACAAGGCAAUGUUCUCCAACUAUCAAGAAUUGAAUGGGGAACAACUAUACAUGGGGAAUUCUGCAAGUUCCAAAGUUGAAGGACAAGGCAAAGUCACCUUGAAGAUGACAUCCGAAAAAAAACUCGUUCUCAGCAAUGUCCUACAUGUGUUGGAUAUACAAAAGAAUUUAGUGUUCAGGUCUCUACUAGCAAGAAUGAUUUUAAACUUUUAUUUAUAUCAAAUAAAUUUGUGUUGUCUAAGAAUAAGAUGUAUGUAGAAAAAUGAUACAUGUGUGAUGGAAUGUUCAAGUUUAACGUUCUUACAAUUGUACCUUAGCAAGUCGUUAUGAAUAAAACUAUAAAUUCAGUUUACUUGCUUGAACCUUCAUAUUUCUGGCAUAGUCGAUUAGGACAUAUGAAUUACAAAUCGUUGCGCAAACUAAUGAAUCAAAGUUUAAUUCUGGCGCAUAAAAUUGAUCAUAAUCAUAAAUGUGAGAUAUGUAUUGAAGCAAAAUUGACUAAAACACCGCUUCAUUCAAUACAAAGGAACAUAACUCUUCUUAAAUUGAUCCAGAGCGAUAUAUGCAAUCUAAAAUUUGUACAAACGUAAGGUGAUAAGAAAUACUAUGUAACAUUUAUUGAUGAUUAUAUAAAGUUUUGUUAUGUCUUUCUUUUGAGAAGUAAAGACGAAGCUCUAAAUAUAUUCAAAACCUAUAAGGUUGAAGUUGAAACACAACUUGAAAAACGAACAAAGAAUGUUCGUAGUAAUAGAGGAGGUGAAUAAGAGGAACCAUUUGAAGACUUUUGUUCCGAACAUGGAAUUGUUCAUCAAACAACAUCACUUUACUCUCAUCAAUCGAAUGGUGUUGCUGAACACAAAAAUCGAACACUUAAAGAAAUGAUGAAUGUCAUGUUAAUAAAUUCGAGUUUACCACAGAACAUGUGAGGGGAGGCUAUUUUAACGGCAAAUAGUUUUCUUAAUAAAAUACCCCUUAAGAAAAUGGAAGAGACCCCGUAUGAAUUAUGGAAAGGUCAUCCUCCAUCUUACCAAUACUUGAAAGUGUGGGGGUGUUUGAUUAAAGUUGAGAUACUUAAGCCUAAACAAAUGAAAAUUGGUCCAAAAAUGAUAGAUUGCAUAUUUAUUGGAUACGUCAAUAAUAGUAGUGUAUAUCAAUUCUUGUACACAAAUUUGAAAUACAAGACGUACAUGAGGGAACCAUAAUCGAAUUAAGGAAUGCAACUUUCUUUGAAAAUAUCUUUCCUUGCAAAGAUAAGGAAAAUACGAGUUCUAAUAACAGAACGUAUGAAACUACAAACGGAGCUUCAAAUAAGGAAGAAUCAAGGCGUAGUAAAAGGCUCGGACUUCCAAGACAUUUGGCCUAGAUUUUCUAACCUAUAUGGCAGAAAAUGAUCCAAAGACUUUCGAUGAAGCAAUGUCUACACCGAAAUCACCGCAUUGGAAAGAAGCUAUUCAUAGUGAGAUAAGUUCUAUAAUGCAAAAUCAUACGUGGGAGUUAAUUGAUUUACCUCCGGGUAACAAGCCUUUAGAAUGCAAAUAGAUAUUCAAAAAGAAAUUGAAACUUGACGAAUUCAUUGAUAAAUAUAAGGCUAGAUUGAUUGCUAAAUGAUACAGGCAAAAAGAAGGACUUAACUUCUUUGAUACCUACUCACCCAUAACUAGAAUCACGUCGAUAAGAUUGUUAAUUGCAAUUGUGGCAAUACACAAUCUCGAGAUUCAUCAAAUGGAUAUAAAAACGGUAUUCUUAAAUGGUGAGUUAGAAGAAAAUGUUUACAUGGAGCAACCUGAAGGGUUCGUUUCUCUUAACCAAAAACAUAAAGUGUGUAAGCUCCUAAACAGUAGCACCAAAAGUUUGACAAAACGAUGUUGUCAAAUUGAUUCAAAAUCAACAAAUGUGUAUAUAUUAAACAUACAUCGAAUGCCUAUAUAAUUAUAUGUCUAUAUGUGGACGGCAUGUUGAUAAUGAUCAAUUGUCACGAAAUAUUGCUUAAUACCAAGAAGAUGUUAAAAAAGCAUUUUGAUAUAAAAGAUACGUGUAUGGCAGAUAUAAUCCUAGGGAUUAAAAUUUCUAGAACGCAGGAUGAAAUUGUAUUUUUCCAAUCUCACUACAUAAAAAAUGUACUUAAGAGAUUUGAAAUGUUUGAGGAAAGUCCUGCGAGAACUCUUCUUGACCCCAGUCUGCACUUAGUUAAGAAUACGGGAGAAAGUGUAUCACAACUAAGGUAUUCACAAAUUAUUGACAAUUUUAUGUAUAUUACAAACUGCACUCGACCAGAUAUUGCUUUUGCGGUGGAUAAAUUUAGUAGAUUUACAAUUAAUCCAAGCCAUGACAUUGGAAGGCUUUGACGAGGGUUCUAAGCCUAUGGAUUACAUUUCACAAAAUAUCUUACGGUACUAGAAGGAUAUUGUGAUGCGAAUUGAAUAUCCGAUAUGAAGGAUUCCAAGUCUACUAGUGGUUACGUAUUCACUAUUGGUGGAGCUGCUAUAUCAUGAAAAUUAACAAGGGAAACGUCAUAACUCGAUCAACGAUGAAAUCUGAGUUUAUUGCUUAGGACAAAGUCGGAGAAGAAGCAGAAUGGUUUCAAAAUUUCUUAGAAGAUAUUCCAUGUUGGCCCAAGCUGGUACCUGUGAUAAGUAUCCAUUGUGAUAGUCAAUCGACAAUUGGAAGGGCUCGAAGCAGUAUGUAUAAUGGUAAGUCUAGACAUAUUCAUCGUAGACACAAUACUAUUGAGCAACUGAUUUCAAAUGACGUUAUCUUCAUAGACUAUGUGAAAUCAAAUGAAAAUAUUGCGGAUCCACUUACGAAAAGUUUGUCUAGAGAUCAAGUAUGUUGUCUAUCAAGAGGAAUGUGAUUAAAGCCUACCACGUAAGAUUUUUGCAAUGGCAACCCUACCUUGUGAAUUGAAGAUCCCAAGACCUUGGUUUAAAGUGACAACUAAGUUUUGAAAAUUUCAUGAAACGCUUAGGAAAUUAAAAUUUCUAACUCAUUCCUAUAAUACUAAAGUGCUUUCAACAAGUGGAUAGAGGUUAAGAUUAUCUUUUAAUGAUUCCUAUAUCUUAAUUAAGUCAAGCGGAAUGGGGCAUAAUACUUUUAAUAGGAGUUCACCUAUGUAAGUGUAAAGUGUGGCCACUUCAAUGAGAAUUUUUUAAGGCUUGAAUUCUCUAAACACUUACGAAACCAAGAAGGGUUCAGGGCCAAAAUGAACCAAGUCAUGAGAACUAAGUAUAGAAUAUGGAAGAUUUAUGUGUGAGUACUGUUCUCUUGGCUUACACCAAAGGCCGAGUAGUUCAAAACUUAUGGUUCAUCAAUUAGUCGAGUAAGUCCGAUAGUAUUUCAUUAAGGGAUGUUCAAGGCCAGAAGCUACCAUCCUUGGAACAGUAUUUUUCCACUCCCUUUCUACAUUGCAUCAUAUCAUCGCAUUUGCAUAUGCGUAUCUGAAUUUUCAUUCAUGUGGGGGAUUAUUAGAAAUUGGUUGAAAAAUCAAAAGAAAAUUAAGUAUAAAAAGUGUAACUUCGUGUCAACCUCGGCUAAAUAUUCAGAUUCGAUCUGAUGGUCAAAUUACAAAAGUAAAUAGAUCAACUUAUUCUACUCGUUGAAUAGAUUAUCAUAGUAUAUUUGGAGUCUCAAAACCAAUUUUGGAUGAAUGGAAAAUUGCAGUCCAAAGUUGGAAAGAAAAAAUGGAAAUGUUCAGAUUCGAUCUGAUGGUCAAAUUAACAAGAAAAUGGCAUGUCGCUCUAUUAUCACUCUCGAGUGACAGUCUCGCUCGCUUGAGCAAAAGACAAGCGAAAAGCUCACUACUUUUGUCGCUCGAGCGAGAGCUUAGCAAAAAGCUAGCGAAAUGAACUAGUGUAUCCAUUCGUAAAGUUGCAUAGUUUGGCUUGCGAGAUUUCACCACACCACUUCAUCCUCUAUAAAUAGAGGCCUUUGGACGCCCAUUUGGGACACAACAAUUGCAUAAAGCACUCAUUCUUCUCUUGCAAUUCUCUUCUUUCUCCUACAUUGCAUUGUUUGCAUACUUCCUUUGUAGAGAGGAAAUUAUGUCGAAAGGUCGUCGAUUUCUUGUUGUUUGAAGUGCUGCUACCACAAGUUGUGAAUCCAUUAUAUCCUAGGAGACAAGUUCCAUUCACCGUGAGUACCGUAGCGAGGCAAUUUGUCUUAAGAAAAGAGUAAACCACUCACCUUGGAUUGAUUCUCAUUUUCUACUCCUUCUUUUGUUUAUAUUUUGCAUUUUAAUAUACUGAAACUCUGCCCAAUUUUCCGUUCAUAUUAGAUUAUGUUUUGAUCAUGCUCCUGUGGAUUUAAACUUGUAAAACAGUUUAUCAAAAACCAACCUAAACAUCGCUCGUUUCUAUACGCCGUCCCCAACAUUAGAUUCUCGACUUUUGACUUCUCCAUCUCAACUUUUGCAUUUGUUUAGCCUCUAUUCUAUUGGCAAGGAUUGGGGACAUACACUCGACCUAAAUACAGCUAUAAACAAAUCUAAUUUACACAGGCUCAAUACCUAUAAUCCAAAAUUCAUGUGCCCACUACCUAAAAUUCAUGUGUCCCUUUAAAUUUGAGUUUAUUUUUUACAGCCCUUUUGUAAUUUUAAGAUGGUUCUAUUUGUUUUGUUUAUAUAUAGUUUAAUUUGAUUUUGAUAAAAAAAAAAAAAAAAAAAAAGUGAAAAAAAAAAAACAGAAAAAGAAAAAUUUAAAAAAAAAAAAAAAAGGAGAAAUUUCUAACAUUAUUAGUAGGUGAUCUUUUAUUUUUGUUGAUUGAUAGAUUUGCCAAAAUAGCCAUGCCAAUAAAAAUUGUGAUUGGAGGAUUGCAUCGACUGAUUGACUUUUUGAGACUCAUUGGGUAACAAAUUCUUUGUAUUGAAAGUUUUACUUUUUAUUUAAGUGUGUUGACUUGUCAAUUUUAAAAAAAAAUGUUAUGUAAUAAUAUUAAACAUUAGGUGUUCACUUGUUAACAAGUACAAGAAAACUUAUUCAAUUUUCAUUGCCUUCUAAUGAACUCAUAGUAUUACUUUAAAACACUGAAUAUUUGCUUUCACAAGGACCAAUUGCCCACUGUUUUCAUGCUCACAUCACUUAGUGUAGCAUUGGUCUCAAAUAAUCUAUUAAGACAUCCUGAUUCCACUAUACAAGUAGCAGUUGCUUUUUGUCUUAGCGAACUAUUUCGCAAUAAGGUACCCAGUCCCCCAUUUUGUGAGGAAUUAAUGCAAGAUGUCUUUUUUUGUAAUUAUAUCAUUAUUUGCAAUAUCUCGUGGGCACAUCCAUCAAUUUGUAUGCUACAGUAGUCAGGAUACUAGAUAUUAUAGCUAAUGCGAAGUAUUUCUUAUCAUGUUGGACCUAGAUUGUGAGCAAAUGAUAGUUGACAUGUUCCGAGACUUUCUAUGGACUUACUUACGACGUGCAAUAUGAGCUACGGUAUUCUUAUGAUAACUACUAUACUUUAUUGUGCAUCUCUUUUAUCCGAUUUUCCAAAAAUGUGAAGAAAAUGUUUGUUGAUCACUCGUAUAAAUAUUUUCUAUUUAACUGGUCAUCUCACUUAAAUAAAAGUUAUAUUUUCAAUCUAGAAGAAUUAUUUCCUAAUCAGAGCCCAUUCGAGCCUUCAAUGUUUCAAUCUUUUGUCUCUACAGGCCAGUUUUCGGUGCUAACUUCUUAUCCAUUUCAUUAUGCACAAUCACAUGAAGAUUUUUUCGAUGAGUUGCAUGAGCAUUUACUUUUUGGAGAUCAGUAUCGAUAUUCGAUUAAAAAGAGAGAUCAUCCUCCUUAGGUGAAUCAUAUCCUUGAGGAGAAGCUGCAGUUUCAUUGUUAUCAAUUGUUGAAUUUCAAUAAUUGAUUCUUCAAAGAGAUCGCCCCCCGUGGUAUGAGUUCAAACGCUUAGCAAAGAAUAGAGAUAUGAUAUGGAACCUUUUUGGUAUCAGGUCGACUGCAGCCAUUUGUGUUUUGUCCACUCCACAUAGUCAAAUUUUUCUCCCACCCCGGAGACUCGAUACAUCCUUUAUUUUUAUGUUUUGUUAUUGGGCUUGUAAUAUUGGAUUAGCCCGAGACCGUUUACUUUAUAGGUUUGUUAAUUUCUCUAUUUAUAUGGCUUGUAUGGAACAUGGAAAAAUAGUUG
rnacentral:lncRNA from 1 species